rnacentral:lncRNA from 1 species
UUAUAUAUCGUCCACUUGCCAUACAUUUAGCUCGAUACAGACACAGGGCAAGCAAAGCAAAAAAGAUGCAGCGUCUUAUCUGAUAGUACAUACAUAUAUCACCACUAGCUAGCAUGUGCACACCAAAUCAUAUCCGCAGCCCGCACUCAAGCAGGAGAAACAUAUGCAUACAUAAUCCGCAAGAUACGCAUCCACGAGAGCAUGAUUUAGUUGGCACAGACAUGCGAAUAAACAUCUCCAGCCAGCGCCAUGAUAAUAAUAAUACCAGCAACAAGCAGAGCAAAAAAAAAGCACGAAACGGUUGGAACGUAUCCCGCGCCGAAUCCACGUGCUGACUUUGUUUAGUUAGCACCUCCCACUCCACGCCGUGCCGCGAUCAUGCUCGCCCGCGACGGAGGAGG